rnacentral:rRNA from 1 species
CCAGCAGCUGCGGUAAUUCCAGCUCCAAUAGCGUAUAUUAAAGUUGUUGCAGUUAAAAAGCUCGUAGUUGAACUUCUGCGUACCUUCAGUUCUGGCUUUGGUCAAGCUGUCGCGUGCGCAUCCGCUUGCAAACCUGGACCGGCCUUCACUGGUCGACCAGGGGAGUAAGCCCUUUACUUUGAAAAAAUUAGAGUGUUUCAGGCAGGCAAUGGCUCGAAUACAUUAGCAUGGAAUAAUGGAAUAGGACUUUUGUCCAUUUGGUUGGUUAUUGGACAUGAGUAAUGAUUAAAAGGGACAGUUGGGGGCAUUAGUAUUUAAUAGUCAGAGGUGAAAUUCUUGGAUUUAUUAAAGACUAACUUAUGCGAAAGCAUUUGCCAAGGAUGUUUUCAUUAAUCAAGAACGAAAGU